AAUCAGGUCAAUGACAAUGGGAAUCAGUUAAAAAGAAAACAUGAAUCGAUGUGUCUCGUGUCACUCACACAGAAUACUGUCAGACUGAUGGAGGCAGGUCUCCCUUGGAAGCAGGCAGAAAGGGCUAAUGAGCUAUUUCAGACAGGCUUGGUAAUUUAUGUCAACCUUGAUGAACGAGUACUUAAUGCUCUCAGAUAGCUCUGUGGGGCUUCAAUAGUUCAAAGAAAGUGAUUUGUCACAUCUUAGGCUCUUAGAUAUUUCUUUUUAUUGAUUAUUUGUCUAUUCUAGAACAAAAUACAUUUCUGCGUCAAGUUAUUAAGUAUGAAGAUCAGCAAACAAAGGAAGAAAUGUGAGCAAGUUGUGAGAAUCCACAAAAAGAUCUGAUGAAGGCUUUGGUUGAGUGGAUCAGCUGUGUGUUGGACGCAACCACAGGUCAGAGGAGACAGGACAAUCUUCCUUCAGAUGGCAUGUACUCUGGUGCACUGCCUGGAACUGGAACCAUUACUUUUAUUGAUAAGACACCAAGAGAUUUAACUGAGGAUGAGUUUGUGCUGCUCUUGAGGAUGGACUCGCUUGAGAUCUAUAUCCUAUGACUAGUCGGAACAGAAAGUAUGCAUUUAGGAUUAUCUGUGAAAGGACACUGUGCUGUGUGACAGCUACAGAGUUUGCCCUGGAGUCUGCAUUUCUGUGGCUAGCAACAGGCUGGAGUGAUUCCACAAUGUAAGACAAAGAAAAAGAUUCCA
rnacentral:lncRNA from 1 species